rnacentral:rRNA from 1 species
UUAGUGGAAGCGUCUGGAAAGGCGCGCGAUACAGGGUGACAGCCCCGUACACAAAAAUGCACAUAUUGUGAGCUCGAUGAGUAGGGCGGGACACGUGGUAUCCUGUCUGAAUAUGGGGGGACCAUCCUCCAAGGCUAAAUACUCCUGACUGACCGAUAGUGAACCAGUACCGUGAGGGAAAGGCGAAAAGAACCCCGGCGAGGGGAGUGAAAAAGAACCUGAAACCGUGUACGUACAAGCAGUGGGAGCCUCUUAAUGGGGUGACUGCGUACCUUUUGUAUAAUGGGUCAGCGACUUAUAUUCUGUAGCAAGGUUAACCGAAUAGGGGAGCCGAAGGGAAACCGAGUCUUAACUGGGCGUUAAGUUGCAGGGUAUAGACCCGAAACCCGGUGAUCUAGCCAUGGGCAGGUUGAAGGUUGGGUAACACUAACUGGAGGACCGAACCGACUAAUGUUGAAAAAUUAGCGGAUGACUUGUGGCUGGGGGUGAAAGGCCAAUCAAACCGGGAGAUAGCUGGUUCUCCCCGAAAGCUAUUUAGGUAGCGCCUCGUGAAUUCAUCUCCGGGGGUAGAGCACUGUUUCGGCAAGGGGGUCAUCCCGACUUACCAACCCGAUGCAAACUGCGAAUACCGGAGAAUGUUAUCACGGGAGACACACGGCGGGUGCUAACGUCCGUCGUGAAGAGGGAAACAACCCAGACCGCCAGCUAAGGUCCCAAAGUCAUGGUUAAGUGGGAAACGAUGUGGGAAGGCCCAGACAGCCAGGAUGUUGGCUUAGAAGCAGCCAUCAUUUAAAGAAAGCGUAAUAGCUCACUGGUCGAGUCGGCCUGCGCGGAAGAUGUAACGGGGCUAAACCAUGCACCGAAGCUGCGGCAGCGACACUAUGUGUUGUUGGGUAGGGGAGCG